rnacentral:rRNA from 1 species
UCCAGACUCCUACGGGAGGCAGCAGUGGGGGAUAUUGCACAAUGGGGGAAACCCUGAUGCAGCGACGCCGCGUGAGUGAAGAAGUAUUUCGGUAUGUAAAGCUCUCUCAGCAGGGAAGAAAAAAGACGGUACCUGACUAAGAAGCCCCGGCUAACUACGUGCCAGCAGCCGCGGUAAUACGUAGGGGGCAAGCGUUAUCCGGAUUUACUGGGUGUAAAGGGAGCGUAGACGGCAAUACAAGUCGGAAGUGAAAUACCCGGGCUUAACCUGGGAACUGCUUUGGAAACUGUAUGGCUGGAGUGCUGGAGAGGUAAGCGGAAUUCCUAGUGUAGCGGUGAAAUGCGUAGAUAUUAGGAGGAACACCAGUGGCGAAGGCGGCUUACUGGACAGUAACUGACGUUGAGGCUCGAAAGCGUGGGGAGCAAACAGGAUUAGAUACCCUGGUA